GUCCAGACUCCUACGGGAGGCAGCAGUGGGGAAUAUUGCACAAUGGGGGAAACCCUGAUGCAGCGACGCCGCGUGAGCGAUGAAGUAUUUCGGUAUGUAAAGCUCUAUCAGCAGGGAAGAAGAUGACGGUACCUGACUAAGAAGCCCCGGCUAACUACGUGCCAGCAGCCGCGGUAAUACGUAGGGGGCAAGCGUUAUCCGGAUUUACUGGGUGUAAAGGGAGCGUAGACGGCGGCGCAAGCCAGAUGUGAAAGCCCGGGGCUCAACUCCGGGACUGCAUUUGGAACUGUGUGGCUGGAGUGUCGGAGAGGCAGGCGGAAUUCCUGGUGUAGCGGUGAAAUGCGUAGAUAUCAGGAGGAACACCGGCGGCGAAGGCGGCCUGCUGGACCGUGACUGACGUUGAGGCUCGAGAGCGUGGGGAGCAAACAGGAUUAGAUACCCCAGUA
rnacentral:rRNA from 1 species